GAAGCAAGAUGAAGUUCACAGCAACUGCAACUGCCAUCUAAUGAAGCUAAUAGGAAGUGGUUGAAGAUCUGUCAAUAAUAAUUUUGAGUCAGCAGAUGAGCAGCUGCAUUCUGGACCAGCUGAAGAUGAUGGACAGAAGAUUGAUCCAAGCAACAGGAAGAUGGAUUACAUGUUCAAAGACAUUUGCUGGAAGUGUGACUGUGUUUCACACAAGACUGUGAAAUGCAAAGUCAAACGCAUCUCAGGAGAUCCUGCUGAGGCGAAGAGGAAACAAUCCCAUGUGCCAUCUUCAUUUUAAAUACCACCUAUUCCCUCCAUGACUCUGUUCUCUUUUGUCUCUGCCUAGUCCCAGUUAUCUCCAUAUGUCCUCCUUUCUCUCCUCAUUUUUUUCCCUUUCACACCCACACAUUUGCUUGCAAAGAUUUCCCUGUUUACUUUUUAAUGGGAACUGUGGUGGCAUCCAGAGAACCACAGAGCUUGAUUCAAUAUUUUAUUUUUUUUUUCUCUUCAGGGACACUAUUUCCAGAAUACAUUGUCACAGUUUUUGUGUUGGAAUAUGGACAAGUCAAACUGUGAAAUACUGAGAGUGCUUGACAAUUUUUCUUAGCAUAUGUCAUUGUGUUCAUGUUUGUGAAGGUGUGAUUGUGCUGGUAUGCUUGCAUAUGUGUGUGCGUGCUGUUGAUGAGCUUCCUAGCUGAUGGCUGGCUGUCAGUGAUAACACUGUUAUGUAUUAUGCUAAUUAACACUGGAAUUGAAAACCUCAAUUUAAAACUGCAAAUUUUUACUUAAAUUAUUGUCAUUCAUUAAGCCACAUAUACUCAUCCAGAUGCUCAGGCUGAAUAUACAUACUUAGGAUGUCUGUUUGGAGUCUAACACUAAAUCAGCAUCGUGAGAUGGUUUAAUGCACAAUUUUUUAGGCGUAAUAGUUCCCUUUAAGUAGAAUAUCCCAGUAAGCAAUUGGCAUGAAAUGUGACCCACGCUUUUAAGCACUUUGACUUAUCAUCUUUUACCGUGAGCAUCAUGCCAGUGCCAGCAUAAGGCUAAUAGGGGUGCUUUCAUGGCAUUGAAUUCAACAUAGGGAUGUUUCUUUAAAAAAAUAAAGAGAAAACACUGUAUUUUAUAACAAAUACUGGCCAUUCUGACCUUUUCCUCUCAACUUAGCCACAUUGUUAUAUUUAUAGACUUCAUAAAAGAGAGUGUUCCUCAUUUAUCUGAUUAAGUAAAUACUGCAGAGUGUGUCAUUGUGUUCUUCUCACCAGUUGACCUUUGCAGUCUCUGAUUGCACAUUUUCACAAACACAAAACAUGGGACCGGAAGAAAUAUUCUGGCAAAAAGAAAAAUGGCUGCAGGAUUAUUUUUGUUUCAUUCAGAUUUAUAUGUUUAAGCUAUGACACCAGUCCCUCCACGGAAAGGUCAUGUUUGUUACUGCUAUGAGGCGCCUGUUUGUUAAAUAAAUAAACUGUUAAUAAAAAAACAACCAUGAAUCUUGAGAAGGGUAAACAUUUUAAUAGCAUGUUAAAAAGGAAAUGUGAAUUUAUCUUUUCUUCUAAGUGUGUUAUGUUUUCCUGCUUG